GGUGGGGUGUAGCGAAGUGGCUCGAAGUGGCUAAACGCGGCGGACUGUAAAUCCGCUCCCUCCGGGUUCGGCGGUUCGAAUCCGUCCCCCACCACCA
rnacentral:tRNA from 1 species